rnacentral:rRNA from 1 species
UACGGAGGAUGCGAGCGUUAUCCGGAUUUAUUGGGUUUAAAGGGUGCGAAGGCGGCACGGCAAGCCGGCGGUCAAAUCGCGGGGCUCAACCCCGCCCAGCCGUCGGAACUGCCGGGCUAGAGUGGGCGAGAAGUGCGCGGAAUGCGUGGUGUAGCGGUGAAAUGCAUAGAUAUCACGCAGAACUCCGAUUGCGAAGGCAGCGCACCGGCGCCCUACUGACGCUCAGGCACGAAAGCGUGGGUAUCGAACAGG